rnacentral:rRNA from 1 species
ACGUAGGACGCAAGCGUUAUCCGGAAUUACUGGGCGUAAAGAGCGUGUAGGCGGUGCUGUAAGUCAACCGUGAAAGCUCCCGGCUAAACUGGGAGAGGUCGGAUGAGACUGCAGCGCUAGUGGGUCGUAGAGGCAAGCGGAAUUCCGGGUGUAGCGGUGGAAUGCGUAGAGAUCCGGAAGAACACCGGAGGCGAAGGCGGCUUGCUGGGCGUUGUCUGACGCUGAGGCGCGAAAGCGUGGGGAGCGAACAGGA